AUCUGGGAGGCCACAAACCAUGGAAGCUGUACGCAUGGCGUAGUGGACUAGUGGUUAGAGGAGACCCCUCCCUUGCAAGUCGCAGCAACAAUGGGGGCCCAAGGUGAGAUGAAGCUGUAAUCUCACUGGAAGGACUAGAGGUUAGAGGAGACCCCCCCGAAAUAAAAAACAGCAUAUUGA
rnacentral:lncRNA from 1 species